GAUAAUAAAAGUUCAAAACUUUCGGCGUUUUUAUGUUUUAAUCUAAACUUUUUUUUUUUUGACAUAAUAUUGAAAACUUUUCGCAAUUUUAUUCAAAUUUGAAUUAAAGACAAAAUUUAUUUACAAGACUUUAUGGCUAUGGCUACCUAAAAAUUUAUUUACAAGACUUUAUGGCUAUGGCUACCUUAACAUCAGUCGCCAGCCUCACAAACUAGGAUCUAAAAUAAGUAUCUUUGUUCAAAAGUCUUUCUUAAUUUUCGGCUCUUAGUUCCUUCAAUGGCAAAACCACAGAAGAACUAGAGCCAUAGCCUCGACAAGCUAAAAAGGAACCAACUUUGCCAUCCAAAAAUCUAAAGCCCAAACUGGAACCCCAUAAGAAGACGCGAAAUAAUCCAUUCAUUUUCUACUUCUUACUUCACUCUUUUUGUCUCUCUACUUACUAUCGUAAUUGUCAUUCUCUCUUACCUCUUCUUCAUCAGACCUUAGACCCUUUUUCCUCUCUCUUUCGAACCCUCUGCGCUAAUACUACUCUAACGACCAUACUAUUAAAGUCCAGCUAGCUCAGAAUCUACCACACACCGAUAUUUUCGCAAUGGAAAGCAGAAGCAAAGGUUAUGUAACUGAGAAGGUACUGAUUAUUUAUGGGUUGGGUCUCAGUUCUUGUCCAUUUAGGAAAGUAAUUGACUUGUUGGGCUCCAAAGAGAUUCAUGGGAUUGUAUUUAAUUUGCCUAGGAAUGGAUCAGUAGAAGUGUCGGAGGAGAGAGGAAAUGGAAUUUUGGAGAGGUGAUCAGAUGCGUAUGAUUUGAUUAAAGAUAAGGGUCUAUUUUGAGUUUUUGAUAACAUGGUUGAAACAUGUGAGGUUCCUUAAUGUUGUUUGUAAGGCUGACGACUGAUGUUAAGGUGGCCAUAGCCAUGAAGACUUGUAAGUAAAAUUUUAAGGAAAAAUAGAGAAUAAAAAGAGAAGAUAGAUGAGCAAAGAAAAAUAAUAACAACAUUAUAAUCCUAUAUAUUUUGUGGGUCCCAUUGAAGAAUAUUUAAAAAAUACAAAGCAUGUCAUUUCAUCUAAUAAUAUAUGCGAAUCCAUUUUCAAUUCAAAUUUAGAUAAAAUUAUAAAACGUUUUCAAAAUUUAGAAUAUUAUGCUAAAAAAAAUGUUUAAAUUAAAAAACAAAAAUAUUUUUAAUGCCAACACCCUAAGAGAAAAUAAGUGAAGAAUAUAUUCUUUGCUUUGCCUUUCCAAAUUCUGCUUUUGAGAUGUUCUCUUUUACUCCGUAUAAAAAUAAUUGGUUGUUCUUGAAGCCCAUAUUCCAUCAAGUGUAAACAACUUUAAUAUAUUCCAUUUUAUAAUAUAACUUUCAGUGAAUCCAUAGUAAAUUUGAAGUCCUCUCCUUCUAGAUUUUCUUCUCUCUCAAUCACUAUGGUUAUUAAAAUUUUUGUUUCUUUAAUUGAAGUAAAAGCAAAACAUUUCACUCACUUUUCUUCUGGUAGAUUUCUAGAAAUUGUCCUGAAAUCCAUGAAUUAAUUGACAGACUCCUCUUCGCUUAUAGCUUUCUUGCCCUGUUUUGCCCUGAGUCAUGUCUAUCCCAUCUUUUUUCUUUUUUUGUUUAUUCAUUUUCUUCUGCCUCCCCCAUUCUAUUUUGUUUUCCCCUAAAUAGAGGAUUCCACCAUCCUCUCUUUUUCUCCUUUUUAUUUUCCUCUCUCCUUUUUCUUUUUCUUUUUUUCUUCAUUUUUAUUUUUCAACCUCUAUCCAGUUAAAUUCCUAUUUUGUCCAUUUGUUCUUUCUUUUUAUUAUAGUGUUCACUAACAUAUUAUAAGCAAAUUUAGUUAUGGAUUAAUAGUCUUAGGACUAAAGUCAAUAUAGUAAUAGAAUUUGUGCUAAUAUGAUUUAGCGGAUAUUUAUUGAUUUUCGAAGUUUUAAGUAUAACUUUGUUUUUUUACACUCACAUAUUUAAUUUGAUAGUAAGUCUGUCAGAAUAGAAAUUUCAGUUUUUACUUUUGAUUUUCAAUUUAAAAAAAAUUAAAAUAAAAAAAAAUCUUUAAGACCUGAUGAUCUGAGAUCCAGAAAAUGAGGUUUUACAAGGUUUUCCUCAACUUAGAAAAAGCAUUUUUCUUCUAGAGGAGGGCAAUCCUCCUUUUAUCUGUUUUCUUUUAUCCGCUAGUGACGUAUAAUAAACUGUCUGUCAUUGGGCCACCUGUCCCUGCCAUGUUGAUACGGACGUACGAGAAUAUCAGGUCUCUGCCCCAUGCGUAACGGCCUCUAAUUCCCCCCGGGCGUGCAUGCAGAUGGACCCACAAGACAAAUGGGUUGAUCCCCUUCCUGAUUCCGAGCUGGGCCUGAAGAUAGGAUUAAAGCUGAGCCCAGAUAGGAUCUAUUUAAUGGGUCGUAUGGACUGGGUCGGCCUGAUUAAGGAAGCUAACUGGAGCCCGGUCUUAAAGCUGAGCAGACCGGACCUGGUUCAUGGGGGAGACUUGAAGGCCUCCAAAUAAUGGGCUGGUACCAUGGGCCUAGCCCCAGACCGGGGUGAAGAAAUCCAGCGGUCAUCAAUUGCCCUUUUACCUUCUCGCCAGUUAUUGCCCGACUGGCGAGGGGGUAAAUACCGAGAAUCAUUAUGACCGCACCGUCUAAGUACGAUUUGCCUCAGAACACCCUUUCACCUUAUUAUCAUUUCAGAUUUCAAAUUUCCUCUGUCUUCUCCAAGUUCUUGCAUUCCUUUGUUCCCCGAGCACCUUGCUACCUUUGCCUUCCUGUCUUUAUUGAUCUCCAGGUACGCCUCUUCUUUUGCCAUGGAUAGCUCUAGCCUCCCCGAUGUCGUCAACCUAGAGUCUAGCAUCACCCCGUCCAACAUUAGGAGUUUUAUCUCCAGAGAAUAACUGGAUACCACUCUUUUUCACAUCCGGGCUCCUUACCGGAAUGAGAGGAUCGUUCUUCCUGAUCCUUCUCCCCCUGGCCUAGUCGACCCCCAAAGAGACGUUAGUCUAAUCUUCUUCAUCAAGCAGAGGGAAUAUGGUUUGCCUUUCCCCUUUUCUCCGUUUUUCAACGAGGUAUUCCGGUAUUUCAAGAUUACCCCUCGAAUGUUGACCCCUAACUCCGUUCUUUUCAUGUCUUCUUUUGAAUCUGUGUGUUUGAGCUAGGGGUUCACACCCACAGUUCACCUGUUCGUAAGCUUCUUCAGGCUGGUCAAGGCGAGCCAAAAAUUUUACUACUUUGUCCCUCACGGAGGGUUGUCCAUUUUCACGGGUUAUAAAGACUCUAUCAAAAGCUGGGUAGAGGGGUUUCUGGUGGUAGAAUUAAAGAAGCAAACGGGGUUGGCUUGGGAGCUCUAUCUCCCAUGGAAGGAUGUCUCUCUGGGUUGCAACGACCUACCCCAGCUGAGCCUUACCGACCAGGUCGGAUUUCUUCGACUGACUUCUGUGGAGAAGAAGUAUGACGUCGAAAAGUGCUUGUUCGCGUCCAAUCUUCAGGAUAUUAAGGACGUGGGUAUCCUAUCCCAUUUGCCUGCUUUAGUUUUUGCUUAUGUGAUCUUUGCUGAAAACUGUUCUGACUUGCUCUGAUUUUUAAUUUUGCAGCCUCCGAGGUGAAGAUGGAUCAGAUCAAGACUCCUAAGAAUCUCAUACUGUCACGGGAGAGCAUGGACGCAACUCUGGAUGCCCUCCUGGCUGGGCAAUCAGUGGGAAAGGCUGCUCAAAGGGUGGCUGAAGUUAUCUCUUCUAGGUCGGCUAUCCGACCUCCUCCUCCUCUGGUCUCCUCACAAGCUCCUAGGCCAAGCUCCCGACGUAGUAGGUCGUCUCGACCCUCCUGCCGCAGCAAAUCGAGCUCGGCUCAUCAGUCCUCUCAAGCCCUCCGGCCUCAGCGUACCUCUAACGAGGGGACAGGAGAGGCUCCCAGGAUCAUUUCUGAGCUGGCAGAAGAGACUAGGCCGGCGAGGUCGGAUCAUGCCUUUCCUUCUGAGGAAGCUCCAGAAGUGAGGCUUGAGGCCCCCUUCGCUGAAGAAGAGGUUCCCGAGGUGAGGCUAGAGGUUUCCGUUAUUGAAGAGAGGGCUCCAAAAGGAAGGGUGGAGGUCGUCCUUGUGGACGAGGAUGAUCAAGAAGUUGCUACUGAGGACCCUCCUGUCAUCGAGAGGGCUGAGUCUAAGCCUACGGAUGAAGUUCUCCCUCAGGAGAAGUCGUUGGUUGCCUCGGAGGGCAUGGCAAAGGGGGCUGGGAGCAAGUGUCCUUCUUUCUCUGACACUUCUGCCCCAGUUCCAAAGAGACCUCGGGCCUCCGGACAUGUUGCCCCAGCUCUGCCUCCGCUCGAGAAGAAGAAGACCUCGGUGGUGCCUCUACUCUCUACCCAUGAUAAUGACAUUCUCAACGCAGAGGACAUCACCCAUCAAUCACCCGCAAGCGUGGUCGCGAAGAUAAUUCGAGAGCGGAUGUUCGGUGGAGUUACGGAGGCUUCAGAUCCUCGCCUGCUGGCUCUCUCUGGCCUCUUGGCCAGCUCUACUCGAGAACAGGUGGCCUUCCGGGCUCAGUCCAGAGAUCAGCUUGGGGAUACUGCCCGGGAGCUGCUCUUGAUGGUAUUUCGCCCUCAUUUCUUUUCUGUUUUAAUUGAUUUCUACCCAUGUUCUCUUUCUGAUUAUAUUUGUUCUUCUCUUUGGCCAGACAAUAGGCAUUUUUAUGGAGAUGGAUGCCCGGGAUCGUGCUCUCAGGGACUCCGUGGACCAUCAUAUUGAGGAGACUCAUCUCGAGGAGAACUUGUCGGCAACUAGCGAUGCUCGGAGCAACCUAGCCGCGACCCAUGAGCAUGCCAAGUCCCUGGAAGCGAAGUUGUCUCACACCCGGAGGGUUCUCAAAAAAUCUGACGAGAGGGCAGCUGCAGCUGAGGUCCACUGUGAAGGAGUCUUGAAGCAGCUGUCCUCCAUGGUGGAGACCCUUCGUGAAAAGGACGAGGCUAUGAGCCAGAGGCACGAGGUCCGGCGUCAGUACGAGGCCCUGAAGGUUGAUUUCGAUGGAGCUCAGGCUCAUCUUGCCAAGGUGAAGAUUUAGAUGGAGGGAGCACUAGCUCGGGUUGAGGUUCUCGAGCAGGAGCUGAGUAAGAGUUCUGACCGUAUCAAAGAUCUGGCCUCAGCAGAAGAGGAGUCUAAACUUCACAAUCAAGCGCUCCGUCAUGAGGUCAAGACUUUGGAGCACAGAUGCUCAGCCCUGCUCGAGGAUGCUAGACUCGUUGAAGAAAGGAUUCAACUCGAGUGUGAGAGGCGCUUGAUGGAGUAUAAGGAGUCCCCCGAGCUGAAAAAAAAAGAUCGAGCAGGCCUGUGAAGCUCGCCUCCAGGAUUACAAGAGUUCUUCUGAAUUUAAAGCCAAGAUAGCUGAGGCCUGCGAGGUGCGACUUGCGGAGUUUAAAGCUUCUGAUGAGAUGAAGGCAACCGUAUGGAAUAAAAGCUUCCGCAUGUUCGUCUCCAGAUACAACCGGGGCCUAAGGACAGCCAGAUACACUCCCUCCACCCCGUUAGCUAAACUCCGAGCUGUAAAGGUAGACUCUGAUGGCGAGGAGGUGCUUUAUGGGGAGGACGACAGGCCCUUGCCCAAAGGGGCCUCUCGCACCGCAGUUGGGUCUUCUGGGGCAGAACCCGAGCUAGAAGAUGAAGAUGCUAGUCCUCAGGGGUAGGAGAUCGUGCCUUUCGUAGGCACUGGAGGGUCUGAGCAGGAGGGUGCUGGGCCUCCCAUGAGCAGCAGUGUAAAUAAUAUAGGUGUAGACAGUGCAGAUACUAGGGUAGAUGAUAAUGCCCCUAGGCGUGUAAGUCCUUUAAGGACAGUUUUCCCUCCAUCCCGUGUAGAUAAUUAGAAUAGGCUGUAAUGUAUUUUUCUUUUAAUGAAAUUUCAUUUUCAUUUACUUUGCUUGCUUUUUCAGUUUCAUUGGGCUAUUUAUUCUGUUAAACAAUCUGUCUUGUCAAGAAUGAAACACUUAGACUAUGUGCUUCGUAAUUUUUUCACUAUACUGUAUUUUCCUUUUUGCCUUCAAGCCCAUCAGAACUAAAAUUCUAUCAAUUGACUGAACUUUUGACUUAUAAAUUUAUCUAUUUCACUAAGGCAUUCUUAUCUGUACGUUCUUUCCGAGCUGGACUAGCCUUACCCGUGAACUCAGUUUUUAAUAGUGGGCUGAACUUUCAACUUAUGAGUUUUUAUGAUUCCUGCAAGGACAUCCUCAUUUUUCUCUUAUUACUUUAUUACUAUGGUCUCGGGCACAUAGCCUUUGGAGAGUAACAAUAAGUCAGAUCAUGUACCUUUUAAGGUGAUGAGCAAGGCUAACCUUUUGUUUUUAGUUCUGUUAUGAUAGGAAUUGAGGCUGGGGCCUUUAGCUCAUGCCACUGAAUUUCCUCUCGGAUCAUAGGAGGCUUGUUGCCUUCAGUUUGUCUUUGAGCUUUCUGAGCUCGGUUCUCUCUUGGGCAUUUAUACCUCUCGGUCUUCUACCUCCCUGAGGCCUUGGGCAUUUAUACCUGUUUCAUUUUUUUUUCUUUUUUGUUUCUUUCAUGAAAGCAAUAUAAGUAGAGACAAAUAAUGAAUUGGGACGGUAAUCAACGUCUGUUUUAUUAUCAUGCUUUAAAAUACGAUAGGUUUUUUACAUUUGAUAAUACCUCAGGGGAAGUACCUUUUCAAGUGAUGGAUAUUCCAGGCAUGGGGCUCAGGGUUUCCCUGCAUAUCUUCAAUUCGAUAUACCCCUGGCUUGACCACCUUUGCUAUUUUGAAUGGGCCCUCCUAGGUCGGUGCCAACUUGCCUACUGCCGUUCUUUUUCCUGUAGCUUCUAGGUUUCUCAAGAUUGGGCUCAAUGCCUUUCCCACUUACCAUGUAUCCUAGAAAUUUUCCUCCCCUGAUGAAGGCACACUUCGCUGGGUUCAGCCUCAUUCUGUACUGUUCUAGCACCUCGAAUGCCUCCCUUAGAUCUACCAUGUGCUGUUAGAAAGUUGGGCUUUUGACCACCAUAUCAUCUACAUUAUCUUCUACGUUCCUGCCGAUCUGACUUUUGAAGAUUUUGUUCAUCAGUCUUUGGUAUGUCGCCCCGAUGUUCUUCAGCCCGAAGGGCAUGGCUUUAUAACAAUAAGUCCCAUCUUCUAUUAUGAACGAGGUCUUUUCUUCAUCCAACCUGUCCAUUGGGAUUUGGUGAUAACCAGACAUAUCAUCCAAAGAAGACAUGUAAUCAAAACCGGUCGUAGAGUCGACCAUUUUAUUAAUGUCAGGGAGGGGGUAACAAUCCUUAGGACAUGCUUGAUUUAGGUCAGUGAAAUCUAUAUACAUCCUAUACACUACAAAAAAACAGUGGUUUAGCGACCAAAAUUUUGGUCGCUAAAAAGAAAGAUUUGGUCGCUAUUAUGAAAUAGCGACCAUUUAGCGACCAAAAUGAAUUGGUCGGUGUUUGGCCAGUCACUAAAGUUUUGGCGACAAUCUAAAAAUUAGUCGCUAAAAUAGCGACUAAUCAGCGACCAUUUUUUGGUCGCUAAUUUGGUGUCAUGGCAAAUUAAGUAUUAGAAAUAUUAGUCGCUGCGUGGAAGUAAAUUGGUCGUUAAAUUUCGGUCGCGAAAUGGUCGCUAAUUUGGUCGCUAUUUCGUUGUUGUUUGAUCAUCUCAGGGAAGAGCAUUUAGUCAGUGUGUGAAAGUAAAUUGGUCGUUAAAUUUUAGUAGCGAAAUGAUAGCUGUUUUGGUCGCUAAUUUGGUCACUAUUUCAUUGUUAUUUGAUCGCCUCAGGGAAGAGCAUUUAGUCACUGUGUGGAAGUAAAUUGGUCGUUACAUUUUGGUCGCGAAAUGGUCGCUGUUUUAGUCGCUAAUUUGGUCGCUAUUUCAUUGUGAUUUGAUCGCAUCAAGGAAGAGCAUUUAGUCGCUAUUUAGUCGCUAUUUCAUCACAAAUUAAUAGUAAAAUUAAAAAAAUAUUUAUUAUUUAAUUUGUUUUUGUGGCUGAUUAGUCACUAAUAAAUACAUUUAAAUCUAAUUCAUAUCAUUUUUUCAAUAAAUUCAUAAACCUGCUAUAAUAUCAAUAUGUACACACACAUUCCAAUACAUAAAACAUCAAAGACAAUAUAUACACAUCAACUUCAUUUCAUAAUUCUGCAAUCUAAAAGUCCAAAACAUUACUAUAGUUCAACACUAAGAAACUUAAAAUAUCUCAAAAUAUAUAAUGGAUCCAAAUAGUAUCAAAUUCAUAUCAUAAAAUAUAUUAUUUAAGUCAGUGAGUAAUGACAUCAUGCUAAUCCAUAUGUGAAUCACCAAGGGAUCUAUGAGCUGGAGGACUAUCAGAUGAUGAUGGCAUCAAUGAGGAAGACUGCUGUCCCAUCUUCGCUGCCUGUAGUUCAUCACGCAUUUGAGCUAUCAUCUGAUUUUGGUCUUCUACAAGUUUCUGCAAACUAUUAUACUUCUCUUCAAACUUUGCUUCAAUUUCCUUAUUCCAUUCUGGUGAUUGGGAUGAUGGAACAUUUGUUGAUGUUCCCCCAGUUCCUGUUUGAGAGAAGGCAGAAGAGGCAGCACUACCUAAACCAUAAACUCGACUUCCUUGCCAUCCUCCUGCUGCAGUAAUGAACAAUUGAUCCUCAUUAAUAGUUCCUCCAUCUCCUUCCACAUGAUCUGAUCCCACAUACUGGCUUGAAUGUUGUUCUUUUAGUUUCAGAUAAUUUUCCUAGAAAAUCACAGAAUAACAGUUCAAUUUGAAUACUAAAUUAAGGAAAAAUGCUAAUACCUACAAGAUAUGACAAUUAUAAUACCUGCAAAAUAUCACAUUUACAAUACUUGCAAGAUAUCAUAAUAGAAAAAUCAAUCACACAACUGAUAAUCAUAAACAAUUUCCUUGUGAGAAUCACCUAGAUAUCAAAAUCAUACUUGCAACUGAAAAUCAAUCACACAACUCAAAAUCAAUCAACAACUCAAAAUUAAUCACACAACUGAGAAUCAUAAACAAUUUCCUUGUGAGAAUCACCUA
rnacentral:lncRNA from 1 species